rnacentral:rRNA from 1 species
GAUGAACGCUGACAGAAUGCUUAACACAUGCAAGUCAACUUGAAUUUGGGUUUUUUCCCUUAGAUUUGGGUGGCGGACGGGUGAGUAACGCGUAAAGAACUUGCCUCACAGCUAGGGACAACAUUUGGAAACGAAUGCUAAUACCUGAUAUUAUGAUUAUAAGGCAUCUUAGAAUUAUGAAAGCUAUAUGCGCUGUGAGAGAGCUUUGCGUCCCAUUAGCUAGUUGGAGAGGUAACGGCUCACCAAGGCGAUGAUGGGUAGCCGGCCUGAGAGGGUGAACGGCCACAAGGGGACUGAGACACGGCCCUUACUCCUACGGGAGGCAGCAGUGGGGAAUAUUGGACAAUGGACCAAGAGUCUGAUCCAGCAAUUCUGUGUGCACGAUGACGUUUUUCGGAAUGUAAAGUGCUUUCAGUUGGGAAGAAAAAAAUGACGGUACCAACAGAAGAAGUGACGGCUAAAUACGUG